AUCUUGAACUAUUGAUUUUGCUAGUUGUGUUUUAAUAUUGUAAGUAAAUUAUUUAUGCACAUUGAUGUGCUACAGAUACUAUUCCAGUGAGCCUUGGAUUGUUCCAUUGGCCAACAUAUGCAGACAUUUGUACUAUCAAACCAUUUUCUCUAAGCAGUGGGCAUUCUACAAUUAUUCAAUCUUCCAAAAAUUCCGGUUUGGUUCUUUAUGAAACAUAAUUCAGCAGGCUGAAGAAAAUGGUUCUUGUAUACAGCGGGCUGUUGUCCUCUAGGGUACUUGAGUAUGUAAAAACAAAAAAAAAGCUGUAGAAUAAAAUAAACUUGUGCCAUUAGUCUUUAUAUGUUUCUGCUUCAGAGAAGGAGCAGGCCAUAAGAGGAAAAAAAGGUGUUAAAGUGAUGAUAAAUUUUUAUACCAAAUGUGUUUAUUUUUUUGUGCAAGUAAUCCUUUAAAUUUGAAUUGUAUUAGGUGUUAAAAUAAAACAACCUCAACUCCUCAAAUUAAUGUUUCCUGUACAUUUGUCAAAAAUACAGGAUUAUCCCUGGAAUGGUUUCAGAAGACUAUAGCUAUGUUUGCUUAAGAAAUUCCUAUGCAGGACCCACGUGAGGGAUGGUUAUACAGGAGGACGGUUCUCUGGUGGCUGGCUGGAUAAUUAAUACAUGUAUAGGCAAAUAUUGUUUGCCUUCAUGUUGAUCAGUGGCACCUGCUUAAAUGGGCACAAAAGUUGUUUUCCAUGUGGUUAAAAAAAGCCCCAACACCUACUGUGUCAGGAGAUGUCCACAGGCAGGAUUCUCUUUGUAUUUUCAUGGCAGCGGUGGAAAUAAGAAGGGGAGAAGAUAAACCAUGGUAAAUAUGUGCAGCUGCCAUAUUUCUUCCUGGACCAUGGUGUUCGUGUAGAAACCAGCACAUGGUUCAGGAAAGAAGAAAUGGACUUCAUCCUGCUUGUAGGCUGCCUAGGGUGACAGGGAGGAUCAUGUUAGGAAGCCUCAGUGCAGGCCCAUGAAUUGUUGGAUCUGUGAGUUGUACCUGUUGUAAGUACAGGACCAGAAAACUAAUCUUUAAAUUAGACCCCUGACUGUGAAUAUAAUGGAAAGAUUUUCUAUGGGUUUUUUCCACUAGCUUAUUUUGGACACAGUUGGUAGGUCUCCUUUCACUGACAAUUUCCUUUUGUUUUUGUAUGGCUCUUUCAUGCAUCAGCAUUGAACAGUAACAAGAUUAUGACUCUUUUUUCUCCUUCUUCCUUCCAUUACUAAAAAAACUACACUUUCCAUUGGAAUAAAGAUUUUACUUUAGCACUAGGUUGCUCUUUGGGCUCUGAGGCUGAAGGACCAUGGCCUUCAUGUGAUAGCUUUCUAAACCCAUGCAGAGGAGAAGAGAAGGAGAGAAGCAGUGUUUCAGUGUAUGACUGUGCAAAUAGUGUCCAGGAAAUAAAGAGUUAGGCUCAUUAGUAGUAGGAACAUGUGCAGAAAAUGCAGGUUUUGCCCAAACCAAAAUGAAGUCAGGCUUCUGUUGCAGCGUUUAUUUAAAAAUGAAAAAAGGGCAUUUUAAAUCCAUGAACUGGGGAAAAGCAGAUGUGUAAGAAGGAAAAUGUGAUUACGGAUGAUAAAUAGACUUUGGUAAAAGAAUAGGAUAAAAGUUGGUGAAAAUAAACAACAAAGAGCAGUGUAACUAAGGUUCCAUUAAAACCGGGAACGGAGCCUGCUGUGUGUGCAUUUCUGUGCAAAACUCAGUCUAAAAAAACACUUGAGAACUAGGAUAUCUGGUUUCAAGUGAGCCUAUGGAGACAAUAGAGAUAACAAACUAUUUGUUCUGGUGGAAACUGGUGCCAUGCUAUGAAUUGAAGUUAAAUAUGCAGCAGCUAAUCUAGACUCUCUUUGACUGAAUGUCUUAAGUCUCUAGGGCUAAAAAGUAAGUCCCUUGAGAAUAUACAUCAAAAUCCCUCACUCUGAUGGUAACCUUGCCUGAGAUGGUGCAGAGAUUGCAAAUCCAAAAUAUUUCAAUUUUUAGUGUGAUCGUUGGUUCACUGUUUCAUUGGACAAUGUAUUUUUUCAUGGAGGAGCUAGUUAAGAGA
ensembl:lncRNA